UACGAAGGGUGCAAGCGUUGCUCGGAAUUAUUGGGCGUAAAGCGCACGUAGGCGGCUGUGCAAGUCCGAUGUGAAAGCCCACGGCUUAACCGUGGAAGUGCAUCGGAAACUGCAAAGCUUGAGUACUAAAGAGGAUAGCGGAAUUCCCGGUGUAGAGGUGAAAUUCUUAGAUAUCGGGAGGAACACCAGUGGCGAAGGCGGCGAUCUGGGUAGAUACUGACGCUGAGGUGCGAAAGCGUGGGGAGCAAACAGG
rnacentral:rRNA from 1 species